rnacentral:rRNA from 1 species
CAAACACAUGCAAGUCGAACGAGAGAGAGGAAGCUUGCUUCCUCAAUCGAGUGGCGAACGGGUGAGUAACGCGUGAGGAACCUGCCUCAAAGAGGGGGACAACAGUUGGAAACGACUGCUAAUACCGCAUAAGCCCACGGGUCGGCAUCGACCAGAGGGAAAAGGAGCAAUCCGCUUUGAGAUGGCCUCGCGUCCGAUUAGCUAGUUGGUGAGGUAAUGGCCCACCAAGGCGACGAUCGGUAGCCGGACUGAGAGGUUGAACGGCCACAUUGGGACUGAGACACGGCCCAGACUCCUACGGGAGGCAGCAGUGGGGAAUAUUGCACAAUGGGGGAAACCCUGAUGCAGCGACGCCGCGUGGAGGAAGAAGGUCUUCGGAUUGUAAACUCCUGUUGUUGAGGAAGAUAAUGACGGUACUCAACAAGGAAGUGACGGCUAACUACGUGCCAGCAGCCGCGGUAAAACGUAGGUCACAAGCGUUGUCCGGAAUUACUGGGUGUAAAGGGAGCGCAGGCGGGAAGACAAGUUGGAAGUGAAAUCUAUGGGCUCAACCCAUAAACUGCUUUCAAAACUGUUUUUCUUGAGUAGUGCAGAGGUAGGCGGAAUUCCCGGUGUAGCGGUGGAAUGCGUAGAUAUCGGGAGGAACACCAGUGGCGAAGGCGGCCUACUGGGCACCAACUGACGCUGAGGCUCGAAAGUGUGGGUAGCAAACAGGAUUAGAUACCCUGGUAGUCCACACCGUAAACGAGACUUAAUAGGAGUGGAGGUUGACCCCUUCAGUGCCGCAGUAAACACCAUAAGUAAUCCCACCUGGGGAGUCGGCCCGCAAGGUUGAAACUCAAAGGAAUUGACGGGGGCCCGCACAAGCAGUGGAGUAUGUGGUUUAAUUAGACGCAACCCGAAGAACCUUACCAAGUCUUGACAUCCUGCGACGCACAUAGAAAUAUGUGUUUCCUUCGGGACGCAGAGACAGGUGGUGCAUGGUUGUCGUCAGCUCGUGUCGUGAGAUGUUGGGUUAAGUCCCGCAACGAGCGCAACCCUUACUGUCAGUUACUACGCAAGAGGACUCUGGCAGGACUGCCGUUGACAAAACGGAGGAAGGUGGGGAUGACGUCAAAUCAUCAUGCCCCUUAUGACUUGGGCUACACACGUACUACAAUGGCGUUAAACAAAGAGAAGCAAGACCGCGAGGUGGAGCAAAACUCAGAAACAACGUCCCAGUUCGGACUGCAGGCUGCAACUCGCCUGCACGAAGUCGGAAUUGCUAGUAAUCGUGGAUCAGCAUGCCACGGUGAAUACGUUCCCGGGCCUUGCACA